CCUACGGGAGGCAGCAGUGAGGAAUAUUGGUCAAUGGGCGCGAGCCUGAACCAGCCAAGUAGCGUGAAGGAUGACGGCCCUACGGGGUGUAAACUUCUGUUAUAAAGGAAUAAAGUGAGGCACGUGGGCCACUUGGGAUGGACAUGAUGAAGAAGGAGCGGCUAACUCCGUGCCAGCAGCCGCGGUAAGACGGAGGAUCCGAGCGUUAUCCGGAUUUCUUGGGUUUAAAGGGAGCGUAGAUGGGUUGUUAAGUCAGUUGUGAAAGUUUGCGGCUCAACCGUAAAAUUGCAAUUGAUACUGGCAGCCUUGAGUACAGUUGAGUUAGGCGGACUUCGUGGUGUAGC
rnacentral:rRNA from 1 species